rnacentral:rRNA from 1 species
GGAUUAGAUACCCUGGUAGUCCACGCCGUAAACGAUGUGCACUAGGCGUCGGGGUGUUGAAACCCCGGUGCCGGAGCUAACGUGGUAAGUGCACCGCCUGGGGAGUAUGCCGGCAACGGUGAAACUCAAAGGAAUUGACGGGGGCCCGCACAAGCGGUGGAGCAUGUGGUUUAAUUCGAUGAUACGCGAGGAACCUUACCAGGGUUUGACAUACACGGGGAGUCGUGAGAGAUCACGGCGCUCUUCGGAGCUCGUGUACCGGUGCUGCAUGGCUGUCGUCAGCUCGUGCCG